rnacentral:lncRNA from 1 species
AGCUUCCUUUUUGCAAAUAAUUCUCUCAUUUUGAUGACGGUAAUUCUCUUCUAAUGUUGGGUCGUCUGUGAUCCUCAGAUUCCCCGGCCAAAAAUCGGAAUGCCCCGAGGCUCGAUCGUAGAGUCCCAAACUCCCUCGACCUCGAGAAGUAUCGCAGGACGACGAAACGUCGACCGGCGCAAGAUUCCCUCGACUAAGGUCGGGAUGCCCCGAGGGUCGACCGUAGAGUCUCAAACUCCCUCGACCUCGGGACGAAGCCGUGAGGGGUGGAAAGGGUGGUUCCACCCGGGGCGCCACAAAGUGGACCCCCGGGAGCGGUCGACGAUCUCCGAUCCCC